rnacentral:rRNA from 1 species
UACGUAGGGACCAAGCGUUGUUCGGAUUUACUGGGCGUAAAGGGCGCGUAUGCGGCGUGGUAAGUCAGCUGUGAAAUCUCCGAGCUUAACUCGGAACGGUCAGCUGAUACUGCUGUGCUAGAGUACAGAAAGGGCAAUCGGAAUUCUUGGUGUAGCGGUGAAAUGCGUAGAUAUCAAGAGGAACACCUGAGGCGAAGGCGGGUUGCUAGGCUGAUACUGACGCUGAGUGCGCGAAAGCUAGGGUAGCAAACGGG